UAACCUCCACAGGCUGGCUGGCCCCCAGGCUGGACUGGUUGACUAACUCUUCAAAAGGUUCACCCUCAAGCAUGACUAGGAGC
rnacentral:pre_miRNA from 1 species